rnacentral:lncRNA from 1 species
CUGAUAUUAUUUUUCUUUCUUCUUGAAGGAUUUAGAAGCUACUGGUAGGUUGUUUUCUUUGGCUGGGUCACUGAUACCUGUUUAGCCUAUGUUAUUAUUGGUGCUACAACGGUACUUGCAGAAGCUUGCUAAGACAUUGUUAAUUUUAAUUAUUAUGCUCAUACUUCAUUUAAAACACUUAUCGUUUGCACCCUGUUAUUGCGGAGAAAUAUGUCGGAUAGUUAUCAAAAGUACCAGGAUAAUAAUUUAAUACGCCAGACGCGCGUUAAGUCUACAUAAGACUCACCAGUUACGCUCAUAUCAAUAUAGUUAAAAGGCCAAGAACGCCAUUAUUAUACUAGUCAAAGCGUGUUGACUGGUAUAAGAAUGAAGAAUGGUCUUCUUGGCCUUUUAACUAUUUUGAUCUGACCUACCCAAUUAAACUAUUUACCGG